UACGGAGGAUGCAAGCGUUAUCCGGAUUCAUUGGGUUUAAAGGGUGCGUAGGCGGGCUAUUAAGUCAGUGGUGAAAUCCUGCAGCUUAACUGCAGAACUGCCGUUGAUACCGAUAGUCUUGAGUUUGGUUAAGGUAGGCGGAAUGUGUAAUGUAGCGGUGAAAUGCUUAGAUAUUACACAGAACACCAAUUGCGUAGGCAGCUUACUGAGCCGACACUGACGCUGAGGCACGAAAGCGUGGGGAUCAAACAGGAUUA
rnacentral:rRNA from 1 species